rnacentral:rRNA from 1 species
UGGGGAAUCUUCCGCAAUGGACGAAAGUCUGACGGAGCAACGCCGCGUGUAUGAUGAAGGUCUUCGGAUUGUAAAGUACUGUCAUUGGGGAAGAACGGUUUUCUUGAGAAUAUUGAGAAGACAUGACGGUACCCAAGGAGGAAGCCCCGGCUAACUACGUGCCAGCAGCCGCGGUAAUACGUAGGGGGCAAGCGUUGUCCGGAAUUAUUGGGCGUAAAGGGCGCGUAGGCGGGCCUUUAAGUCCGGUGUGAAAGAUCAGGGCUCAACCCUGAGAGUGCAUCGGAAACUGGAGGCCUUGAGGACAGGAGAGGAAAGUGGAAUUCCACGUGUAGCGGUGAAAUGCGUAGAUAUGUGGAGGAACACCAGUGGCGAAAGGCGACUUUCUGGACUGUAACUGACGCUGAGGCGCGAAAAGCGUGGGGAGCAAACAGGAUUAGAUACCCUGGUAGUCCACGCCGUAAACGAUGAGUGCUAGGUGUAGAGGGUAUCGACCCCUUCUGUGCCGCAGUUAACACAAUAAGCACUCCGCCUGGGGAGUACGG